rnacentral:rRNA from 1 species
UACCUACGGGGGGCAGCAGUGGGGAAUAUUGCACAAUGGGGGAAACCCUGAUGCAGCGACGCCGCGUGAAGGAAGAAGUAUUUCGGUAUGUAAACUUCUAUCAGCAGGGAAGAAAAUGACGGUACCUGACUAAGAAGCCCCGGCUAACUACGUGCCAGCAGCCGCGGUAAUACGUAGGGGGCAAGCGUUAUCCGGAUUUACUGGGUGUAAAGGGAGCGUAGGCGGCCUGGCAAGCCUGAUGUGAAAUACCGGGGCCCAACCCCGGGGCUGCAUUGGGAACUGCCAGGCUGGAGUGCCGGAGAGGC